rnacentral:misc_RNA from 1 species
ACGUGAUCUCUAUUUCGGUAGGGAGAAAGUGGCGAACGGGUGAGUAACACGUUGGUGACCUGCCCCGAAGCGGGGGAUAACUCCUGGAAAGAGGAGCUAACACCGCAGAUGUCUGGAGCGUUAGAGGCUUUAGACUAAAACUUUGGUGCUUUGGGAGGGGCCUGCGGGCUAUCAGCUAGUUGGUGAGGUAUUUUCUCACCAAGGGGGGGAAGGUUAGGGGGNGUGAGAGCGUGACCCCCCACAANNNAUUNCUCCCGCGGUCCCUGGACAUACNGNNNCCUCCCUCCGGGUAGGGGGUNAAACUCGCGC